AACGCGAAGAACCUUACCUGGGCUUAACAUCCACUGACAACCACAGAGAUGUGGUGUUCCCUUCGGGGACAGUGAGAUAGGUGCUGCAUGGCUGUCGUCAGCUCGUGUCGUAAGAUGUUGGGUUAAGUCCCGCAACGAGCGCAACCCUUGCUUUUAGUUGCCACCAUUAAGUUGGGCACUCUGAAAGGACUGCCGGUGUUAAACCGGAGGAAGGCGGGGAUGACGUCAAGUCCUCAUGGCCCUUACGUCCAGGGCUACACACGUACUACAAUGGCAGAGACAAAGGGUCGCGAAGCCGCGAGGUGGAGCUAAUCCCAAAAACACUGUCUCAGUCCGGAUUGAAGUCUGCAACUCGACUUCAUGAAGCUGGAAUCGCUAGUAAUCGCAGAUCAGCACGCUGCGGUGAAUACGUUCCCGGGCCUUGUACACACCGCUACAGU
rnacentral:rRNA from 1 species